AUACUUACAUGGCAGGGGAGUUAUGAUCACAAAAGUGGUUUUCUCAAGGUAAGGCUCAUCCACUGCACUCUGAAUGUCUUGACCCCUGUGAUUUCCCCCAAACGUGGGAAAUUUGACUGCAUGAUUUGUGGUAGUAGGAGACUGCCAUUAUACUUCCCCCUG
rnacentral:snRNA from 1 species